AAAACUGGGAGCUCUCUGAGCUCUGGUCAAGUGUAGUAUCUGUUCUUAUCAGUUUAGUAUCUGAUAUGUCCUUUAUUUGAGGACUGUAUAUUAAAUUGAUUUUUGGAACAGGGGGAUGGAAUAGGAGCUUGCUCUGUCCACCCCAUGCAUUGACCCGGUAUUGCAGUGUCUCCAGGAACGGUGCAUCUCCU
rnacentral:snRNA from 1 species